AAUGAAAGUGAGAUUAGAAAAAGUCAAAUGAAAAAAACACUUGGCUUCCUCUCUCUCCCUCUCACCUUGUUUCUGCCUCUCCAUCGCUCCCUCUCUCUCACACACAGAGUCUAUCGACUCUCUCUCCAUCACGCCUGCUCUAAAAUCGAUUCUCUCUCCCUCUCACAGCUAAAGCAAGACCCAGAGAGAAUUAAAACUAGAGAGGUUGUCAGCUAGCUAAUUCAAACAGUCACAUAGCCUCUCUUUCUCAAUCAAGUAUUUAAUUAUCGCUGGGGUUGUGCAUAUUCUUGAAUCGUGGAACUCAACUGUGGUCGAGGUUGAUUGAAGGGGUUGUGAGCUUUUCGUUUGGAAGAUAGUCGAUCGCAGGCAAUAGGAUCAUUUGCCAUGAAAGUUGGUGUUGAUUUUGCAAGAGAGUCUGGUGCAUUUUUGUGGAGGCCAACUUUAGGGAUAACUUGUAUUGAAGAAAGUGUUGGAAGUGUUAUUGCUUUUGAACUGUUCUGGGAAUAUCUGAGAUUUAAUUACAGGUGAUGAAGAUAGCGACACGAGACUUUGAUGCUUGCAAUUGAUAAAGAGAAAGUAUUGGACAAAUAUUAUAAUUUGCCUUUUAUUAGACUCAUUAGACAUACUCUUUCUAAGAAUGGACUUUUAUUAUGGUAUUUUACACUUGAAAACUUUUCUUUGGGACACAUGUAUUGGAUAUUUUGGUUGAUACAAAAAAAUACAUUGGAUUUUAUCAAAUUCCAAUUACAUUA